rnacentral:rRNA from 1 species
GACGAACGCUGGCGGCGUGCUUAACACAUGCAAGUCGAACGGAAAGGCCCUGAUCUUGUGGUGUGCUCGAUUGGCGAACGGGUGAGUAACACGCGUGUAACCUGCCCUUGACUUUGGGAUAACUUCAGGAAACUGGGGCGAAUAUCGGAUAGGAGCUCCUGCUGCAUGUUGGGGGUUGGAAAGUUUCGGCGUUUGGGGAUGUACUCGCUGCUUAUCCGCUUGUUUGUGGGGUCGUGGCUUACCAAGGCUUUGACGGGUAGCCGGCCCGAGCGGGUGACCGGCCGCAUUGGGCCUGAGAUGCGGCCAGGACUACUGAGGGAGGCAGCAGUGGGGAAUGUCGGACGAAGGGAGGAAGCCUGAUGGAGGAACGCCGCGUGCGGGAUAACGGCCUUCAGGAUGUAAGCCGAUUUCGCCAAGGAAGAAGGGAGAGCUAGAGUGAUGGGUAUCAGAACGCCGGGUAAAUACAUG